AAUAGCCUAACGGCUGAACCAGCAACUUGGAAGAAUGUAUAGCUAAGCUAAAUGAUUUUUUUUUAUAAAAAACAUAUUCGAUUUACUCGUAUAAAGUUCUAGGUAGAAUUAUGAUAAUGACAUUAUCUAUCUAUAAGUCUUGACCAACAUGCGUGCCAGCAGUCGCGGCAAGACGCUAAAGACUAGUGUUAUUCAUUUUUAAUAGGUUUAAAGGGUACCUAGACGGUAAAUUAAGCCUUAAUAGGAACUAAUUUAACUAGAGUUAAAUGUAAGGGUGCAUUAACGUACUAUUGAGUGUAGAGAUGAAAUUCUGUCAUACCAGAUUAUUGGCACGGGUUUAGGCGAAAGCAUCACUUUAUGUAAUAACUGACGUUGAGGGACGAAGGCUUUGUAUCGCUAAAAGGAUUAGAUACCCUCGUAGUCUAAGCAGACAAUGAUGAAUGUCAUAGGUUAAAUAUUGUUUAGUCUAUAAAUGAAAGUGUAAGCAUUCCACCUCAAGAGUAAUUUGGCAACAUUGGAAUUGAAAUCAUUAGACCGUUUCUGAUACAAGUAGUGAAGUAUGUUGUUUAAUUAGAUGAUCCACAAAAAACCUUACCACAACUUGAAUAUUUUACAAGCGUUGCACGGCUGUCUUCAGUUAAUGUCGUGAGAUUAUGGUUAGUUCCAUAAAAUUAACGUAAACCCUUACUUUAUUUUAUUUUAUAUAAAGUAGUUCGCCGCUAUAUUGGU
rnacentral:rRNA from 1 species